UACAGAGGUCUCAAGCGUUGUUCGGAUUCAUUGGGCGUAAAGGGUGCGUAGGCUGCGGGGCAAGUCUGAUGUGAAAUCCUGGGGCUCAACCCCAGAACUGCAUUGGAUACUGCCUUGCUAGAGUACUGGAGAGGAGACUGGAAUUUACGGUGUAGCAGUGAAAUGCGUAGAGAUCGUAAGGAAGACCAGUGGCGAAGGCGAGUCUCUGGACAGUUACUGACGCUGAGGCACGAAGGCCAGGGGAGCAAACGGG
rnacentral:rRNA from 1 species